UACAGAGGUCUCAAGCGUUGUUCGGAUUCAUUGGGCGUAAAGGGUGCGUAGGUGGCGCCGUAAGUCGGAUGUGAAAUUUCGGAGCUUAACUCCGAAACUGCAUUCGAUACUGCGGUGCUUGAGGACUGGAGAGGAGACUGGAAUUCAUGGUGUAGCAGUGAAAUGCGUAGAGAUCAUGAGGAAGACCAGUGGCGAAGGCGGGUCG
rnacentral:rRNA from 1 species